CCCUACGGGACGCAGCAGUAGGGAAUCUUCCACAAUGGACGAAAGUCUGAUGGAGCAACGCCGCGUGAGUGAAGAAGGGUUUCGGCUCGUAAAGCUCUGUUGGUAGUGAGGAAGGAUAGAGGUAGUAACUGGCUUUUAUUUGACGGUAAUUACUUAGAAAGUCACGGCUAACUACGUGCCAGCAGCCGCGGUAAUACGGAGGGGGCAAGCGUUGUCCGGAUUUAUUGGGCGUAAAGGGAGGGCAGGCGGUUUAAU
rnacentral:rRNA from 1 species